UCUCCGUAGGUGAACCUGCGGAGGGAUCAUUACAGAGUUCAUGCCCUAACGGGUAGAUCUCCCACCCUAUGUUAUCAUCACUUUGUUGCUUUGGCGGGCCGUCAGGCCUCGGCUUGGCUACCGGCUCUCGCUGGUAAGCGCCCGCCAGAGAACCCCAAACCCUGAAUAUCAGUGUCGUCUGAGUACUAUAUAAUAGUUAAAACUUUCAACAACGGAUCUCUUGGUUCUGGCAUCCAUGAAGAACGCAGC
rnacentral:misc_RNA from 1 species